CAGGGUGUAGUUCAGUCCGGUGGAACGCCUGGUUUGGGACCAGGAGGGCGUAGGUUCAAAUCCUACCAUCCUGA
rnacentral:tRNA from 1 species